AACGCACAUUGCGCCCCUUGGUAUUCCAUGGGGCAUGCCUGUUCGAGCGUCAUUUGUACCCUCAAGCUUUGCUUGGUGAUGGGUGUUUGUUCCGCUGCAACGCGUGAACUCGCCUCAAAUCAAUUGGCAGCCGGCAAUCUGGUGUUUGAGCGCAGCACAUUUUGCGCUCUUCGCUGUGUAUUGCGGGCGUCCAUGAAGCCUAUAUUUUCACGCUUGACCUCGGAUCAGGUAGGGAUACCCGCUGAACUAAA
rnacentral:misc_RNA from 1 species